rnacentral:rRNA from 1 species
AUUGAACGCUGGCGGCAUGCCUUACACAUGCAAGUCGAACGGUAACAGGCCUUCGGUUGCUGACGAGUGGUGAACGGGGGAGUAAUGCAACGGAACGGGUCCAGUGGCUGUGGAUAAGGCAUCGAAAGGUGUGCUAAGACCGCAUGUGGGCUGAGGAUGAGAGCGGGGUGCCUGGCUGGAAAGUGUGGCCUCGCGCGUUUCGAGCAGCCGAUGUCGGAUUAGGUAGUUGGUGAGGUAAAGGCCUACCAAGCCGACGAUCUGUAGCUGGUCUGAGAGGACGAUCAGCCACACUGGAACUGAGACACGGCCCAGACUCCUACGGGAGGCAGCAGUAGGGAAUUUUGGACAAUGGGCGCAAGCCUGAUCCAGCAAUGCCGCGUGAGGGAAGAAGGCCUUCGGGUCGUAAAACGCUUUUGUAAGGAACGAAAAGGCUCUGGCUAAUACCUGGGGCUGAUGACGGUACCGUAAGAAUAAGCAACGGCUAACUACGUG